CAUUUAUUGGCAACUUUCACCUUCACAAACAUUUAAACAGUUUGAAAAAGAUUGUCUGCUCACUGUCAUUUCCUGCCAAUAACAAACAAUAUGUCACAAAGUAACCAAUUCACGUAAUCGAUUUCCUUUGCUUUUUUUGAGGGUUCAGAAUUGUGCCAACAGGUAACUGGCACAGCAUCUGAUCAUGUGAAAACUUUUCGACUUGGCGACAUGGCUGCUGACUGCUUCUUUCCAAACCAACCCCCAAAGCACUAGAAAAAAUCAAUGGACAUAUCAUCAGGUGAGGACUUUUACAAAGGAAAUAAAUAAAAAAGCGGUGAGGAAUCCCUGAGAAGUCUGAAGAGCGAGAGUGGAGACUGAUGGCCCAGCGAUAUUUCCUCCUGUUGCUGUUGCUUCUUUGAAGUUCAAAUGUGAAACCUUGGUCAGGGAUGUCUCCUGGUGACCUGGCAGCAAACAGAGGUUAUCGACAGUGGUUCUGCAAUGUCUGGGGCUCUCUGCUGAGGGCUUGUCCCCCGAUCGAUGCACACACAUACCAGAGCCAGGCCUUCAGUGCUUCCCAACACAUGGCACCAGAGAGUGGCCGUUACCCCCAGAGAACAUGAAUGCCAAAAUAACGAUCCUCUGAAGACUGUGAAAGAAAGACAGCAUGCUGAAAGACACGCACCAUUGGAAACAGUUUUGGGAAACAAACAGACCGAGAAGAUAAAAUAGACAGCCUGUGUGCUGAAGAAGGAAGAGGAAGAUUUCAUACUGUCGGGCACUAAGGAGAAACUGUAGGAGAGGAAAAAUGAUUUUCCAUUGACCCCUCUAGGUUCUUGGACCUCCCUGCAGUAAAACACAGAGUAACAAGAGAAAAACAAACAAGAUUAAUAAGGUGUGUACCUCCUCUACACAUGGGAGACAUCCCGGAAAAUUGAGUAAACCCCCCAAAAUGGCCCAGGCCACCACCUUAAGUACCUAAGCUUCAGCUAAAGACAAAAGGAAGGUCUUUUUGUAGAAAAAAUAUCUGACAAAAUUCACCUCCUAUCUUUGAUAAAAAGCCAGCAAACUAUGGCUAGGAAAGAACUUAUAAAUGUUACAUUAAAAAAAAUCUAUAAAUACUUAAAGGAGAAACAUUAAUUUAGGAUCAGGAAUAAGCCCUGGCUGGGGUAGCUCAGUGGAUUGAGUGCUGGCCUGCAAACCGAAAGGUCCCCGGUUAGAUUCCCAGUGAGGGCAUGUGCCUGGGUUUCGGGCCAGGUCCCUAGCUGGAGGCAUGUGA